UUUUAAAGUCUGGGAUGACAUGGGCCUCCUAAGUAGUUUUAGGCCAACAAAAAGUUACCUAAAUCCUGGAGAAAACAUCACCAUCACGGCAACUUUUGUGGCAGCUGCAGAGAGUGGCAACUUCAUCUCCAGCAUUGCCACGUUCGCAGCUGAAAGUUCAGCCUCUCAGAACUACCUCAAGCUGCCUAUCGCUGUCAUUCCUAAAACUGCUCUGGAAACAGAUGAGACCCCACCAGACUACAAGGUCCUGGAUUUUAUCGUUCCUUGUGUAGGCAACAUCCAACACACGUCUGCCUGUUCCACACGCUUUUGGGGUAUAAGGUUUUCUGCUAAAGACACUCAAAGCGCUGUCACUGUCCGAGUCAACCCAAAUUCCACUGCUCUGUCCUGUAGACAAAGCAAGACAGAUGGCAAGGAUGUUAUGUGUUUCUACCAGUCAAACUGCUGUUCUCCUUAUGCAGAAUUCCUCAUCAGUGAUGAAAAUGGGAAUACAAAUACAUUCACUAUGGAUGGCAGACACCCCAUCACAAAGCG
rnacentral:lncRNA from 1 species